GGGCAAGGGAGGAGGAUGAGGAUGACAAUGACAAUGACAACGACAACAACUGGCUCCUGAGCUGAAAGAUCAGCUGUGGCUUAAUGCUCGGAGAAAGAAGCACUGACAGAUAAUCCAGAGGAACGUCUGCUCACACAGGAACAUGAAAUCUUUUAACUGGAAUAUCAACCUCCGUUUGAAAGCAGGUUCAUCAAGCCAAAACAAUGAUCUUACUCAGUAUCUUGGUGAGAUUGGGGCAUAGAAGAGAGCUAGCUGGAUGAGUCUCAAUCCAGACAAGACUAAAGUGAGAUUAGUUGGCUGGGAGAAGCAACU